rnacentral:rRNA from 1 species
AUUGAACGCUGGCGGCAGGCCUAACACAUGCAAGUCGAGCGGAUGAAGGGAGCUUGCUCCUGGAUUCAGUGGCGGACGGGUGAGUAAUGCCUAGGAAUCUGCCUGGUAGUGGGGGAUAACGUCCGGAAACGGGCGCUAAUACCGCAUACGUCCUGAGGGAGAAAGUGGGGGAUCUUCGGACCUCACGCUAUCAGAUGAGCCUAGGUCGGAUUAGCUAGUUGGUGGGGUAAAGGCCUACCAAGGCGACGAUCCGUAACUGGUCUGAGGGGAUGAUCAGUCACACUGGAACUGAGACACGGUCCAGACUCCUACGGGAGGCAGCAGUGGGGAAUAUUGGACAAUGGGCGAAAGCCUGAUCCAGCCAUGCCGCGUGUGUGAAGAAGGUCUUCGGAUUGUAAAGCACUUUAAGUUGGGAGGAAGGGCAGUAAGUUAAUACCUUGCUGUUUUGACGUUACCAACAGAAUAAGCACCGGCUAACUUCGUG